GGCCAGACUCCUACGGGAGGCAGCAGUGGGGAAUAUUGCACAAUGGGGGGAACCCUGAUGCAGCGACGCCGCGUGGGUGAAGAAGCGCCUCGGCGCGUAAAGCCCUGUCAGCAGGGAAGAAAAUGACGGUACCUGAAGAAGAAGCCCCGGCUAACUACGUGCCAGCAGCCGCGGUAAUACGUAGGGGGCAAGCGUUAUCCGGAUUUACUGGGUGUAAAGGGGGCGCAGACGGCGAUGCAAGCCAGGAGUGAAAGCCCGGGGCCCAACCCCGGGACUGCUCUUGGAACUGCGUGGCUGGAGUGCAGGAGGGGCAGGCGGAAUUCCCGGUGUAGCGGUGAAAUGCGUAGAUAUCAGGAGGAACACCGGUGGCGAAGGCGGCCUGCUGGACUGCAACUGACGUUGAGGCCCGAAAGCGUGGGGAGCAAACAGGAUUAGAUACCCUCGUA
rnacentral:rRNA from 1 species